rnacentral:rRNA from 1 species
CUCCUGGAAACGGGUGGUAAUGCCGGAUGCUCCAUCACACUGCAUGGUGUGUUGGGAAAGCCUUUGCGGCAUGGGAUGGGGUCGCGUCCUAUCAGCUUGAUGGCGGGGUAACGGCCCACCAUGGCUUCGACGGGUAGCCGGCCUGAGAGGGCGACCGGCCACAUUGGGACUGAGAUACGGCCCAGACUCCUACGGGAGGCAGCAGUGGGGAAUAUUGCACAAUGGGCGCAAGCCUGAUGCAGCGACGCCGCGUGAGGGAUGGAGGCCUUCGGGUUGUAAACCUCUUUUGUUAGGGAGCAAGGCAUUUUGUGUUGAGUGUACCUUUCGAAUAAGCACCGGCUAACUACGUGCCAGCAGCCGCGGUAAUACGUAGGGUGCAAGCGUUAUCCGGAAUUAUUGGGCGUAAAGGGCUCGUAGGCGGUUCGUCGCGUCCGGUGUGAAAGUCCAUCGCUUAACGGUGGAUCCGCGCCGGGUACGGGCGGGCUUGAGUGCGGUAGGGGAGACUGGAAUUCCCGGUGUAACGGUGGAAUGUGUAGAUAUCGGAAAAGAACACC